ACUUAGUCCUACGCUGCACAAACCUCACACAGUCAUACCGUCAAACCCUUUUCCUUUUCGGGCUUUUCCCUCUUCGGCUCUUCAGUCUGAGUUCAGCCUUCGUCUUCGGUCUUCACCCAUUUUUGUUAUUUUCGGCUUCUCAUUUUCUGGAACCUGUUCUGACUCUCCUUCUCAUCAAGCCAUCGAGCAUCUCUCGCGUUCUCUAUUUUCUGGUGGAAUUAGUGGUGAAAUUCCUGGAGAUCUCUUGUUCGGGUUGUUGAAUGGAACAUGAUGAGUGAGGCAAUAAGGGGAAAUGAAAAUUUGAUAGACUUGGAAAGGCUGGACGCAGAAAGUUUCGCAAAUAAAGACGCUAAAAAAAAAUGAAGGAAAAAGUCAAACAUGUGGAGUUUCUUUGAGAUGGUUCCUGAUUCUGAUAAAAGUGGUGAUGGUAAAGCAUGACCCAAGUGCAAGAUGAGUGGAGCUACUUACUUGGCAGCGAGCAAAUAUGGAACUACAAAUUUAAAGCAUCACAUUGAUACAUACCCUAGAAGAAGUACCCGAGAUAUUAGUCAGUUGAUGUUAUGGCAAAAUAGUGGAUCUAUUUCGAUAAGCACUUCUAAAUUUAAUCAUCAACAAUAUAGACAACUUGUGGAGAUGUUAUUGUGAAGCAUGAUUUGUCUUUUCGGUUUGUUGAAUCUUUGGGGGUGAGAGCUUUUUUGCAAUAUGCGCAUCCAAAUAUUUCAAUUAUUUCUAGAAAUACUGCUAAGGCUGAUUUGGUUAAGCAAUAUCAUCGAGAAAAAAAAAAAGGAUUAAAUACAUAUUGAGUGAUGCUCCUGGUAGAAUUUGUCUGA